UAAUUAAAUAGGACCACAUACUCUUACACUUGUUUUGCUUGCUUACAUCUUUGCAUCUUCAACUGAAGGCGUGAGCUUUGCCUAGGUUGGGUUGUGUUAUUAAACGCUUCUUGUGUUCUCCUGAUGAUGAUUUCUGAAAGGCUUUGCGCAUGAGGGAUGAGACAAAAGUGCUGCGUCACGAUAGGGGGGAUGGUUCUAUAGAUGCUUGCAACUUCUAACAAAUCCCUUGUUUCGGUGAAGCACCAAGCGACAGGACACUUUAAUACAGUCUGCAAGCCCAAAGUGCCUUGGUGGAUUCAGCUGCUUCAUUUGCUGCGGCAAAGUACAGAGGACCCUGUCGAUGUUGCAAAGCAUGUCAUGCAAGAAGCUAGUCUAAGAGGGCUAUAUAAAGGCUUGGUUCGGAUCUUGGAACGCGAAGUUCCUGGUAAUAUUGCUGCCUUGUUCGGAGUAUACGAAGCCCUCAAGCGGUAUUUUGCAGGCGGUUGAGACACUUCAGGAUUCCUCUGAUCAUUGCUGGAGGCCUAGCUGGAGCAUCCUUCUAUCUAUCUACCCAACGUUGUAAAGAGCAUGAUUCAGAUUGAUGGUUAUAAGAAUCCAAAGUACGUCAGAUUCUGACUUCAGAGGGAAUCAAGGACUUUUACAGAGGCUUUGGACCAGCAAUGGCUCGCAGUGUCCCAGUUAAUGCAGACUCUUUCUUGGCAUAAGAUCUAGCCUUGGCUGACGUUGUCAAUUCUCAGAUUCUUCAUCUUUUAUUCUUGAACAAAGGAGGAUCAAUUUUCAGAAAAAAAUUAGUAGAAUAAUUUUCCAUUCUUUAAACCAA